rnacentral:lncRNA from 1 species
AUCUACUGCACGUAUGGAAGAAGCAUGUGGAGAGUUGACGGCUGUGAGCUGGCCUACUGUCCUUCUAGUUGUGGGAUGUGGGAUGCCACCUCAACGUGGCCUGACGAUCGGUGCCAUGUCCGCACCCAGGAUCCGAACCCUGGGCCACCACAGCAGAGCUUGUGAACUUAACCACUCGGCCAUGGAGCAGGCCCCUCAUUUGGAUUUUUUCAUUCCCCAGAGUUCUGCAUACAACUCAUGUCUUCCAUGAAGGUUUUAUGAAGAGCUCUGCUUCAGCUAAAAAAGAACUCUCU